UAAAGCGUACCGUGUAUAAAAAUAAACAAUUUAUUCAAAAUAAUUAGACUUUAACGUGAAAAUUACAGAGCACGAUGUACUGUACGAACUUUACGCGCGGUAUCCUCCAGGCAACUGCGCCACCUGAUCAGUCGGAACGAAGCUCAAAUAGCGGAACUUGCCGAAGACGCCCGAAGGGACCGAAGCUGUUUCGUCCCCUCGUGCAAUUAGAAGGGAGUGAUUUCCACGUUUAUUUAAACAAUUUUUUAAGAGUUUAUUAGAUUAUUUAUUGUUUGUGCAGUGUUUGUUAGCUUCAAGUAUCAUCUGUAACUCCAAUUCAAAGCUAUUCAAUGGGACGUCUGUGAAUCGUGGUCCAUGGAUUUCGUGAGGAAACUUGGAAACGACGACGAGACCGUGGAGGAUCCUGCAAAUGACGCUGUUUCAUUUCAUGUCCGGCUUUGCGGAAGAGUGCUUUGACCAAUGCGGGUUCCUUUGACGAGACAGUAAUCAACCAUGGGUCAAUGACGGAUCAACCAUGGGUCAAACUGAGAGACGUUGCGAGCGCAGUGGUGCAAGUCAACGAUCGAUGGUUUGCUGUUUAACGUGGACGGAGCUUCUAUUUGCUGAACAGUUUGCAGACUAUGUAUGCGUUCGCAGCUGCACUCUGAUUGGCUGCUGUUCCAUCAGCUGCGGGAUCGUCGAAGACGAGCUUCCGUUUUAGAUAAAGCUAAGAUUGCUUCAUUUCGAUGAAAGCUCUCGGUUAUCGUAAAAAUGACGCUUUGUGAUGGAAUUGGUUGCAAUCGC